GACGUUAUAUGCGUAUGUGUCUUGACCAAUUACGUGCCAGCAGUCGCGGUAAUACGUAUAAGGCUAGCGUUAUUCAUGUUUAAUCGGUUUAAAGGGUACCUAGACGGCAGAUCAAGCUUAUGAAAAAAAAAGGACUAAUCUGCUAGAGUUACUUGUGAGGGGGCUAUAAAGUACUGCUGGUGUAGGGAUGAAAUACUAUGAUACCUGAUUUCUAAGGAGAAAGAAAAGUUAUGGCACAGGUAUAGGCGAAGGCAUCCCCUUAUGUGAUAACUGACGUUCAGGGACGAAGGCUUCGGACCACGAACAGGAUUAGAGACCCUGGUAGUUGAAGCAGUAAACGAUGAAUGUCAUAGAUUAGAUAUAUAAGUUUCUUCUAUAAAUGAAAGUGUAAGCAUUCCACCUCAAGAGUAAUUUGGCAACAUUGGAACUGAAAUCAUUAGACCGUUUCUGAAAUUAGUAAUGAAGUAUGUUGUUUAAUUUGAUAAUCCGCAAAAAACCUUACCACAAUUUGAAUAUUUACUAGGCUUUUGAUAACGGCUAGUAUUUACAAGCGUUGCACGGCUGUCGUCAGUUGAUGUCGCGAGACUGUGGUUUACUCCACCAAUUAACGUAAACCCUCACUUUAUUUUUAGAUAAAGUAGAUAAUCACCGAUAUGGAGACUAUAACAGGGACCAAGGCAAGUCAUCAUGGCCUAAAUAUUGUGGACUAUAGACGUGCCACAUUGACCUUACAAA
rnacentral:rRNA from 1 species